GACCGCUCCGGUGGCCUAGUGGUUAGAACGUCCGCCUCGGAUGCGGAAGGUCGAUGUUUAAUCCUUGGUCGAGUCA